rnacentral:sRNA from 2 species
UAUUCUGCCCCAUGGGGAAGGAUGAGAAGCUUCGACUAAGGUUCGACUCGAGCGAAGCGAGAGAACGUUGCCGCAGGCAACGGCCCGAAGGGCGAGGAGCGAUAGCGACGAGUUAUCCUUCCCCCACCAUCA